AACGAACGCUGGCGGCAUGCCUAACACAUGCGAGUCGAACGAGACCUUCGGGUCUAGUGGCGCACGGGUGCGUAACGCGUGGGAACCUGCCCUUAGGUUCGGAAUAACUCCCCGAAAGGGGUGCUAAUACCGGAUAAUGUCUUCGGACCAAAGAUUUAUCGCCUUUGGAUGGGCCCGCGUUGGAUUAGCUAGUUGGUAGGGUAAAAGCCUACCAAGGCGAUGAUCCAUAGCUGGUCUGAGAGGAUGAUCAGCCACACUGGGACUGAGACACGGCCCAGACUCCUACGGGAGGCAGCAGUGGGGAAUAUUGGACAAUGGGCGAAAGCCUGAUCCAGCAAUGCCGCGUGAGUGAUGAAGGCCUUAGGGUUGUAAAGCUCUUUUACCCGGGAUGAUAAUGACAGUACCGGGAGAAUAAGCUCCGGCUAACUCCGUG
rnacentral:rRNA from 1 species